rnacentral:rRNA from 1 species
AUUGAACGCUGGCGGCAUGCCUUACACAUGCAAGUCGAACGGCAGCACGGGAGCAAUCCUGGUGGCGAGUGGCGAACGGGUGAGUAAUAUAUCGGAACGUGCCCAGUCGUGGGGAUAACGUAGCGAAAGCUACGCUAAUACCGCAUACGAUCUAUGGAUGAAAGCGGGGGAUCGCAAGACCUCGCGCGAUUGGAGCGGCCGAUAUCAGAUUAGGUAGUUGGUGAGGUAAAGGCUCACCAAGCCGACGAUCUGUAGCUGGUCUGAGAGGACGACCAGCCACACUGGGACUGAGACACGGCCCAGACUCCUACGGAGGCAGCAGUGGGGAAUUUUGGACAAUGGGCGCAAGCCUGAUCCAGCAAUGCCGCGUGCAGGAUGAAGGCCUUCGG